CUCGGAAGAAAAAGAGAAUUCAACCCAAGAGGAACAGGAAAAAAAGGAAAAGAAAGAGAAAGGUCUGUUGGUGUUUGCUGAAGAAAAUGGUGCCAAUGACUCUCCCUGAUCAAGGGACACGACUUCAACAUAAAUGCCUAGAAACUGGAUUUCACCCUUUUUUGGGAUAUGGAGAACUGUGGACACAGCUCAGUACAUCAUGGAAACCAGCAACCCCUCCAUGGAUUCUGUCUACAUUUCUCACUGCCUCAGUAAAGCAGCCAGCAUAAUCAAAGACCCCACCCACCCCAGAUAUUCUCUCUUCAGCCCCCACCGCUCAUUGGGCAGAAGAUUCAAGACCCUGAAAGCAUGUUCCACCAGGCUCAAAGACAGCUUCUAUCCUGUUGUUAUAAGACUAUUGAACAGUC